CGCGAGCUGGGUUCAGAACGUCGUGAGACAGUUCGGUCCCUAUCUGCCGUGGGUGUUGGACAAUUGAGAGGAGCUGCCCCUAGUACGAGAGGACCGGGGUGGACGUACCUCUGGUGUACCAGUUGUCACGCCAGUGGCAUCGCUGGGUAGCUAAGUACGGAAGGGAUAACCGCUGAAAGCAUCUAAGCGGGAAGCCUACCUCAAGAUAAGAUUUCCCUAGGACUUUAUGUCCUCUAAAGAGCCGUUGAAGACUACGACGUUGAUAGGCUAGAUGUGGAAGUGCAGCAAUGUAUUGAGCUAACUAGUACUAAUUGCCCGU
rnacentral:rRNA from 11 species